AGUGAACGCUGGCGGUAGGCCUAACACAUGCAAGUCGAACGGCAGCACAGUAAGAGCUUGCUCUUACGGGUGGCGAGUGGCGGACGGGUGAGGAAUACAUCGGAAUCUACUUUUUCGUGGGGGAUAACGUAGGGAAACUUACGCUAAUACCGCAUACGACCUACGGGUGAAAGCAGGGGAUCUUCGGACCUUGCGCGAUUGAAUGAGCCGAUGUCGGAUUAGCUAGUUGGCGGGGUAAAGGCCCACCAAGGCGACGAUCCGUAGCUGGUCUGAGAGGAUGAUCAGCCACACUGGGACUGAGACACGGUCCAGACUCCUACGGGAGGCAGCAGUGGGGAAUAUUGGACAAUGGGCGCAAGCCUGAUCCAGCCAUACCGCGUGGGUGAAGAAGGCCUUCGGGUUGUAAAGCACUUUUGUUGGGAAAGAAAAGCAGCAGGUUAAUACCCCGCUGUGCUGACGGUACCCAAAGAAUAAGCACCGGCUAACUUCGUG
rnacentral:rRNA from 1 species